GCUUAUAGUCUAACACAAGAGGCAAACUUCAUCAGCGUUCUGAGGAAGGAGAUGCCGUGCAUCAGGGGGCCGGCAGGUGGGUCUGGGAGGAUUCAGAUAGGUAGGAAAAUGGUGGUCAGAACUCCAUGAGGAAAAGUGGAGAGAGACACAAAGGAGGGCUGUCUGGGAGCACCCAGAAAGCAGUGUAGAUGCAGUGGGAGGUACCGUAAGAAAGGUUUAAGGAACUCUUAGUUUCCCAGGUGUUUCUUAGAUGGCUAAUGUCUACGUGUUUAUUGAUCUUUGCUUUUGGUUUUUCUUCUUACCGGGAAAAGCUUAAAUAUUAAAUUGGCCUUGGAACAGUUUUUUUUUUUAAAGGGCUGUAAGGCCCAACGGUAGGGAAAACAUAGUCAUAAAAUAACAGUAGAGUCCUUGAAGAAAGCAGGCAGGUACCAAAGGAAUUCUUGGCAGUAAAAUUUCCCACAGGCUGGUCCAGGGCUUCAUCACUGAUCCAUAGUCAGUAGGAUAAACAAGAUUUAUCUCUGGCCUCAUCAGAGUCUGAGACAGGGCAAAUUACUUCAAGUGCUUCCCUCUACAGGGUAAAAACUUCUUGUACUUCUCCUCAUGGGGCUGUGGUAACAAGGAUUAAAGCUAAAGUGGGUGGGGUUUUAAGCUCUGUGACUCAGUGAAACGUAGUUACCAGCAGGGAGAAGACACUUAGCUACCUUCAACCCCACCUGCCCUCCAGGCAACUAGAGAGGCUUUGCCCAAAGUAACAAAGGUAAGAAGUAGGUAAGCGGAGAUAAGAGCAAUUCCUACAUUACUUGCACUCACCUCUCUCUGGCCCCAGAAGAUGAGCAGUUUACACGAUUCAUAUAAAGAAGUAGAAAAAUGUAAAUAACAAACAACCAGGACCAGAGGAAAACUUAAAUCAGAACAGAAGAUCAACAUGGGAAAUAUAUUAGAACUCUGAUCUACAGAUAGAUUCUUCUCUCAGCUUCUGAAAGAAAGCCAUGGGUUUGGCUCAGAACUUCUUACAUCCAGAUCAGAAGAGAAGACACAUUCAAUCACCUGAUUCCUAUUAAGAAAACCCUGCCAGUUACUCAAAGACGACAAAGGCUCUCUGAUAUCUAGUUAUAAAAGAAAUGUCUGGCCAGUUACAAGAACAAAUCAAAACAUCAAGAUUCAUACAAGGGCUGUUUUUAGAUCUGGACACGACGCCCCCCACAGCUUUGAUGACAACAGAGCAAGUUUCUCCGCCUACGCAAGCCCUGGGCAGAGCCACCGUACCGCUUACCUGUACCCAGUGCUGUUCCGGCCAACCACCAGAUGCUUGGGCUGCUCCUCACACUUAUAAAUGUUCAAGUCGUUCUCGGGGACCAGGUCCACAUCGUGGAAAAUAAAGCAGUCCCAGUUUUCAUCCUUGAGAGCUUCUAGAUAGCCCACAUUCAAGAGUUUGGCUCGAUUAAACUUUUUACUUCCAGCCUAUAGAUACAGAAAUUAAAACUUGAAAAGCUCCAGAGAUAAGGUUUCACACCAUGCCUCUCUUCAGUUCAGAGGCAAGAGCUGGAAUUAUUCUUUCCAAAGCACAAGAAUAUACUUGUGACAUGAAGAUCUAACAGAGUAGAUGUGAUCAUAAAAGACCACUUGCUUGUG